UUUUGUCUGUGUCAUGCUUUAACCUCUUUAGCCUUUUUCCUCUGAAUUGCCCUACUGUAGUUGGAUUUUAGGAGCAACAGGACUGCCCAGUGAACAUCUGUUUGGGAAGGAAGUUAAACUAUUCCCAAGAAAGAGAAAUCCUUGAAAGACUAGACCGGCCCCCUAGAUGAGGGCCUAUAAUGAUGAAGUUGCACCCCAGAAAGGGGAGAUCACCUCAUGGAAACCAGAUUGUUCCCAGAAUCCCUUAUGGGACCAGAACUGAAAUGAUCACUCCCAUCAAGAUUAGCUUCUCUUGUCAGCUAUACUUACCCCAUCCCCCUUUCUUCAUUUUCCUUCUCUAGAAAAUAUCAGAGUUCCUGUUAGCCCCUUGAAUUCUGUCCUUUAUCACGUACUACCUAGCUCCUUAAUGGGCAAUGGUCAAGCAUAGUCCCUUGAGACUUCUGAAGCUAAGUUAUUGUUCUAAGACUCUGGUAACAAAAAUAAGAGCAGUCAGCACACAAAGUAAGGAUAUGUCUGAUGUUAAGGUAAAAUCCACAUCAUAGGCUUCAAUGAAGUGCAGUGGAAAAGAACCAAAUACCUUGUUUAAAAAAAAAAUAGAAAAGUCUAGGGACAACACAAUGGAAGACACACAUUUAUGAAACCAUAAAAGGGGCAAAAUCAGUUUCUGAUGCUCCAAGCAGCAGACCCAGCAGGGCAUCUCCGAAGUAAGGCUCUCUGGAGCAGGAGGGACCCAGGCCAAAUGAUCUGAGAGGAGGGAGAGGUGUUACCCCAGUCUCGGGCUGAACCAUUCUAUGCCCCUAUUCUAGCCAAAGGUUCUAGGAAGAAAUGUGCAUUUCAGAAUAUCCUCCCCACUGUCAACUAUACAACUGUUACAAUUAGAAAAUUAGAAUUGGUUUCUAAUUCGUUUUCAGUCCUCAGAUUGGUUUCUAAACCUUAAUACUGAAUGGCUCUGAAGAAGGGAACAAAACUAUUUAUUCACUUCUUGGUUAACUAUUAUCUAGUUUUGAGUACAGUUUAUGAUCUUAAAUGGCCUUGAUUCAUUGGAUUUUUCCCAGUAUGUUUUCUGCAUGAACAUUGUGAAGCCUAGUGUAAUUAUUUCCUUUUCUACAGGAUUGAUUCUGACAAAAGAAUCCCAAAUGCUGCAAAGGGCUAGUAAUGUGGCUUAGCAGUAGAGUGCUUGCCUAGCAUGCAUGAA